rnacentral:lncRNA from 1 species
UUCAAACCAGAGAAAUUCCAUCUUUAAAAAUUCAUCAAAUAUAUGUAACCAAAUGAGAAUUUUGAACUGAGAUUCAUACUCUCAGCUUUGAAUUGCACAUAGAAAUGAAAACAUAAUUUUCUUUGGUGUGUUUUGUUAAAUGGCAACUAUAAAAUAUUAUAAAAUGAAUAAGAUGCACAUGCUUAGAAAACAAAAACUUUGAAAGCCAUCAGUGCAGAAAUGAAAAUGCCUGUUUGAUAGUAUGUAGAAGACUAUAACAAUAAUAUUAUGUUAUAAAGAUGUGAGACAUAUCUUUCUUGAAAGUAUAAGCCAAAGAGCAGCUGCAGUCAGAGUCAUCAGAAUGCCAUGAAAUUUGUAAAAGAGGGGACUUGUCAACAGUGUCUGCCAUGGUCUGUUUGAACACAGCUGCAAUUGGGAUUUUCAAGCUGACCCCCAUCUGGUAGGAUGAUGAUGCCUUCUGGAAGAUUCUCGACAGAGCCCAAAUGACCAACAGAGUAGGUCAAAAGCAGAAGGACAGAUGAUAAAAUGCCAAAAAAGGGAGUUUCAACCAGACAAGAGUUUAGGAGAGUAUUUUGAUGGAAAGAAGAUAGCAACCAUAGGACUCGGUUGUAGACAUCCAGAAGAUGGUGCAAAACAGUAGCUGCAUUUCAGCAGAAGCCCAAUGGAUGUGGAAAACAAUGGCUUAACAGAGGUAACAGGCUGCCAUGAGCUUCAUAAAAACAAAUUCAUGACACUAAUUGACUUAUUUAAUAUGAGAAGAAUCAAGAUUUUCACACUCAAGUUGAGGACAUACUUAAAUUAGCCAACCAAAUAAAGGUAUGUAAUACAACAAUACCCUUUUUGGAAGCUAGGGAAGCAGUAUUUUUUACUGGUAGAGAUCAAAAAAUUUUCCCUAAGUGAGUGUUGUAUACUUUGUGAAUGUGUGAAUAUAUGAAUGAGUCAGAGGGCAAGUCUUUAGGAAUUUUCUUUGUAACUCUGAGUAAAACAGUAGUGUCAAUAUUCCCUUGGGUUAAUGUAAGCAGAUCUGCUAUUAAUACUAGGCAAAAAAAGGAAAUAAUUCUUGAACUUUCUCAUAUUUUAUAUAUUAUGGUAAAUUAUGCUGAAUGAAUUUUAAAAAUUAGUAAUUGUGAAAUGUAAAUUUAAUUUUCUUAAAAUAUAUCAGGACUAUACUAUAGUUUAAAAUUCAUGAAAAAUUAUAAGAAGUUUACAUUUAUUGACAAAAAUUAAAACUAUAGAACUCUUGAAUCACCAAACCUAAUUUCAUACUUCGGCGAUAAUUCUGUGUGAACAGUAUUUCCAAAGAGAUGAAUUAAUGUAUGUAGCCUAUUAAAGUUCCUUGUGAGAGUGAGAUAAUUCUAUAAAUACAUAAAGAAGUUUAUAAUUAAACAAAACAACUUUCAUUAUAUAUUGACACUGCAUGAUUAAUAACUGCUUUCUAAAUUUGUGAUGCUUACUAUAUAUACUUGUAUUACAUUUCAAAUAUUAACAUAAUUUUCUCAACAUAUAUUUAAACAUGUGUUUUCUAUAAGAUACAUGCUAGAUAGUGUAAGUCUCUACAUGAAGCCGAAACUGUAGAACCUUCUCCUUUUAGGGAAUUUAUACUACAAUUUUAGACUGCCUUCUGAUGUUAAUUUAAACUUAUUUCAAAUAGAAUACUUAAUUAGUAAAACAAAUCCAACUCUACAGCAUGUUUGGAUGAAAAAACAAUAAAGACUGCAUCCAGAGAAAAAACACCCAAUAUAGAAAACAACAAUUUUAUAUAUCUUUCUCUACUUAUAUUCUUACCAUUCUGUUUUAUAAUUCCAAGUUGGAUCUAUUUCUGUACUCAAAAACAGAAUAGUAUUUGCCACUCUUCAAAGACAGGAUGCUUUUUUAGAAAUUUGUGUCUUUUUUUCAUAUGGUUUUCUCUUUCCGUCUUCCACCUAUUAAACAUAGAUAGCAUUCAAUACCUUGGUUAAGUAUGAUAUUUUAUGUGAAGCUUUCUGUGACCAUAAAAGAUCAUUAAAUUUCUUCCUCCUUUGAAUUUUAUAUAUUUGCG